rnacentral:rRNA from 1 species
UACGUAGGGUGCAAGCGUUGUCCGGAAUUAUUGGGCGUAAAGAGCUCGUAGGCGGCCUGUUGCGUCCGCUGUGAAAUCCCGGGGCUCAACCCCGGGCGUGCAGUGGAUACGGGCUGGCUGGAGGCAGGCAGGGGAGAACGGAAUUCCUGGUGUAGCGGUGAAAUGCGCAGAUAUCAGGAGGAACACCGGUGGCGAAGGCGGUUCUCUGGGCCAUUACUGACGCUGAGGAGCGAAAGCGUGGGGAGCGAACAGG